rnacentral:lncRNA from 1 species
AGGUAGAUGAUAUUAGUGUGAUAGGUGUAUUAGUCCAUUUUCACAUUGCUACAAAGACAUACCCGAGACUGGGUAAUUUAUCAAGAAAAGAGGUUUAAGUAAGUCACAGUUCCACAUGGAAUUUCCACAUAGGUAGAUAAAUGGUAGAUAGUUAGACACAUGAUAGCUAGUUAGAUAGCUAAGACUUUGGGGGUGAGAUAACUGACAGGUGCAUUCCUAUUAACUGGAAAGCUUUUGUUUUUAUGGAUAGAAGAAUGAAGUGAGGCUUUCGUUUUGAAAGUACAUGUUAUAAUAAUGCAAUAUUUUAUAUAAAGGAAGUGAGCAAUUAGGAUGUACAUGCUUUAAACAGGGUGGGGAAAGAAUCUAAAGCAGUGGCUGGAUCAGAAAGUAACUUUCAACAGCUGAAUAUCUGAUAUAGUUUCAUAGUUUGUGGUAAGAAGAAAGAAAAGACAAGAAAUGACUCUUUCCCAAAGAUGUCCACUUAAUCCCCGGAAACUGUGAAUAUGGUAUAUAUAUGGCAAAAAGGGACUUAGGGUUGCUGGGAGAAUUAAGUUUGCUAAUCAACUGAUCUGAACAUAAGAACUAGCUUUGAAGAUGAAGAGAGGAGGCUGUGAGUCUUCCUUGACUACCUGUAUUUCCUUAUACAGGUAGCCCCUAGAAGCUUGGAACUGCCCUCAGACUACAGCCAGGAAGCAGACAGGGACUUCAGUUCCACAGCCACAAGGAGCUGAAUUCUGCCAACCAGAAUGAGCAAGAACAUGGAUUCUCCCCUCAAGCCUCCAGAAAAGAAUGCAGCCUACAGUCAGCACUUUAAGUCCCAUGCAACCUAUAAUAGAUUUCUGACCUACAGAGCUUUAAUGUCAUAAAUUGGUGUUGUUUUAAGUCAUGAAGUUUGUGGUAGCUUCUUAUGACAGUAAUUGAAAACUAAUACCUGGUCUUUUUAGCAGAAUAACGAGCACCCUGUAAUGUGUCAUUCAUGCAUAUCUUUUUUUUUUUUUUUUUUUUGGUGGGGGCAGGAAGACAAAACUCUAGAGUUUAAUCUUCCAGCUGACUGACUUGGAAGUGUUCCUGUCAAUAUAAAAGAUCUUGUUGGGGGGCGGUGGAGAAGCCAAAGCAGGCUCGGCGGCUGUACUUCCAGCUCAUGGCCCGGUCGUAGUCCUGCUGCAGGUUCUGCUGCAGGCUGUGGGCUGCCUUCUUGCUGAGGGCCAUGUUGGGCCUUGCAAUCGUGCUGGGGGUUGGGGGGGGUGG